UCAGUGUGGCCGAGGCUAGAGAUGGCGU
rnacentral:piRNA from 1 species